UUUGAGUUGAACACACGAGUUCAUAGGUAUGUAUGACGUAUUCAUUUUUGCGUCCUCUAAUUGGAUAAUCAGAGUUCCAAAUAGUUUGGCUCGUUCAAAUGUGUAUACGUACUAGCUGUUUUUUUAUGUCAUAGUCUGAAUCAAAUUAAAACGUUAUUAACAAAUUAGCUUGGACAAAAUGUACUUUCAACAGUCGCACCAUGUUGACAAAAAAUAAAUAAAUAAAAUAAACUAGUAUUUUGGGGCUUUCAUGGAUCAAAAAGAGGAAGGAUACAGAUGAGCAUCAGAUUUUAUCAUCCAGGCGGCGUAUCGCUCCUUGAGGUUGAAGAGCACGGCCGGCUCGUGGAGGUGCGUCAGACGAGCCAUGUCCUCUAUCUUGUCGAACUUUGGCGGGUUCAUGGGUCGAAGGUCGUCCCGGUGCACCAUGACCUCCUGGACACAACAAUGACAAAAGUAGUGCUUUGGUGCCAUCUUGUUGCAUCGAAGUGAGCUGAGGAGCUUCAUUUCGACAAAUGUGGUGCUUUGCUGCCCUCAUGGAUCCAAAGAACUACGUUGACGUAAGUUGAGGUGUUUCAUUUAGACAAAUGGAAUGAUUUGCCCUCAUCUCAUGGCAUCUAUAGACGAUUAGAAACUUUUGGAUUAUCUUUUGCUAUUAUAUAGCAGCAGAAGGCUGUGAAUAAAAAUUCAUUUAUAGUGAUUAUGGAGUAAGGAAUGAGUGCAUGACAUGAUGCUACGUGACGUGAGAUCACAUGAUAUCGGAUACGUGAUGUUAGAUACACGAUGUUAGGUAACAUGAUGUUAGAGGACCUUAUGCUACAUGACAUUAGAUGACAUGAUGUUAAAUGAUGACGUAAAAUGUCAUGAUGUGCAAUGACGUUGGAUGACAUGAUGUCAAAUGUCUUCAUGUAAAACGACGUUACAUCUGUCCCAAUGUUAUGUCAUAAUUUCAGAUAGCAUUAUGUGAAAUGACGUGCUGUUCCGUGACAUGAUGUUCGAUGACGUUAAAUUACAUGACGCCGGAUGGACGUGAGAUGACACAAUGUUAGCUGUCAUGAUUUUAGAUGGCGUGAUGUUAAGUGACAAGAUGCGAGAUUACAAGAUGUUA